AGCUUAUGUCCAGUUACUCAUUUGGUCAAGAUGAGUAACUAGCCAAAUGCCAUUGGAGAAAUGACAAAAAAGCUGCCUCGGAUUUCUUCUCAACCCCAGGCUCCACCUACGCACUCUAUUCCUUCCUCCUCUCGACCCCGAGCUCCACCUACCCACUCUUUUCCUUCCUCCUCACGACCCCAGGCUCCACCUGCCCACUCUAUUCCUUUCUCCUCUCAACCCCGGUCUCCUCCUAUCUACUCUAUUCCUUCCUUCUCUCAUUGUCCAAGGCCGUUUCCUCUUGUAGGUAACUCUUUUUGUCCACAGAACACUCCCCAGUGUCGGCCACCUCUCUCAACUCAUAAGCCUAUCUCUUUCCCUCCUGUUUAUAGUGCUGUUCCUCCUUGCCGCCCUAACAUACAGGCUUCCCCACCCAAAUCUUGCUCUAUUCCUUCCAAAACCUCCAGCCCCCGCUCCUUUUUUCUCGCUACUGUUCUCCGUUACUCCAGUUUGUUCUUUGCUCCUACUCCCCCUCCCAGCUCUAAGUAGACAUUAAAGUCUUAUCCUCCCCAGCAUUCCAGCCAACUCCAUCCAGACCUCCGUGAUUCACAAAUCCUAUCCUGGAGAGAUGAUUUCCCUGUGAGUGGGACGGUUCUGAUAUCAUCUAGAAUUGCCAGAACAAUCGAUCCCCAGGAGCUUCACUUGGUGAAUGUUGGGAACUCAAGACAAUGCCAAUCAACAUUUAGCUUGGAGGAGCAAACAGCAAGACCAGGGACACAAGGUAGAGAAGAGUGAGUGGAAAUCAUGUCAUCUGAUCUCUACACGGGAAAUGUGAGAAGCUGAUGAUACUUUGCAAUGACAGGCAAAAGAGCUAAGAAUACCCAUGACUCCUUUAAGAACUGUGGGGCAUCACCCCGUGGAGAGCAGACUGGGAGACCAAAGGGUCCAGCGGUGAUGCCCAACCUCCACAAAGGGAGCUGAGCCUGAGAGAGCUCCAUCAGCCCCAAUGUAAUUUAGGGCCCCCUGCCCCCCACUCCAAUAGCAAAGCUUCCGCCCCCCCAUCCCGGACUUGAGACCAUGCCACUCCCAAUGUGGGGACACUGGGCAAGCCACACUCAAACACCUGCAACUUCUGCCCUCCUGGUAAAUUUGAGGAAAAUGUAUCCAUUCAGUUAAUUGUGUAAGUUAAUCUUACAGCUUCUCUAAGAUGGACGUGUCAGAGCGCUUGCUGUUGCUUCUCCGUGUAACCACGUCAACAACGUCCAUUCUUUCAUCUUAUGAUAGUGUGCUGAGCCCCUGGGGUGUGCUGGCCCAGGCCCCACGGACUUUGCCAACAUACAGAAUAACACUUAGUGCUUAUCCCGUCAAGUGCCCCCCUCAGUGCCGUCACCCAUUCACCCCCACCCCCCACCCUCCACU